UGCGGAAUAUUGGACAAUGGGUGAGAGCCUGAUCCAGCCAUCCCGCGUGAAGGAUGACGGUCCUAUGGAUUGUAAACUUCUUUUGUACAGGGAUAAACCUACUCUCGUGAGGGUAGCUGAAGGUACUGUACGAAUAAGCACCGGCUAACUCCGUGCCAGCAGCCGCGGUAAUACGGAGGGUGCAAGCGUUAUCCGGAUUUAUUGGGUUUAAAGGGUCCGUAGGCGGACUUGUAAGUCAGUGGUGAAAUCUCAUAGCUUAACUAUGAAACUGCCAUUGAUACUGCAGGUCUUGAGUAAAUUUGAAGUGGCUGGAAUAAGUAGUGUAGCGGUGAAAUGCAUAGAUAUUACUUAGAACACCAAUUGCGAAGGCAGGUCACUAAGAUUUAACUGACGCUGAUGGACGAAAGCGUGGGGAGCGAACA
rnacentral:rRNA from 1 species